CGCUGGGAGCAGGUGUGAGGAUGAGGGUGAAGACGGACACAGACGACAACAGAAAACAAUGAGAUGAUAUCACGUGAUGAGCACACGUAAUGACCUGUGGGGCCUCCCGGACAUGUGAGGAGGAUGGAUGGAGGGCAGAAUGCGGGCCAGCCUCUUUCCCGAGGGAGACGCUUCUAAUAUCCAGAAGACAUUCAACACGGCGACAUGGAUUAUACAUCAUCUAGAAGCUCAAAACCUAUAGUCAUCUUUUGAAUAUUUUGCGAGUUCGGCGAGGGUAUAAGCCUCCUCACAGAAGAAGCGUUGUGUGGGAAUUAAGCUUAUGGGGAAUAAAAAGAAGACAGCUAAUGGAUCAUCACUGGACAAGAACGUAAAGGAAGUCUUUGUUGUUGCCCUUAAUCUCCAACUUUAAUGGACAAGCUCAAUCCCGUGGCAGUGGGUAGACUCUUCAACAUGAGGAGCAGCAUCAUUAAUGCUUUAGUGUAAAACGCUUUUGUAUUCAGGCUGCAGUCAAGCACUUCAGCAGCAAGUCUAGAACGUGUUAAAUGCAUUCUUACUUGGGUGGCUGUUGAAAUGUGCAAAGUUAGCGAAGUUGGCGCUGGAUCCUGCGUGCGGAUUAGCAGGGGCUGCGAAAAUGUCUCCGCCAAGGUCGCUGAGGAGGUCAAACUUCUUAUCGUGGUAGUGCUGCUGGUGGUGAUGGUGCGCUGCGGCACGGCUCACAACCGGGGACUGCAGUGAAACGAACAAGAAAGCAAAGGAAAUGCAGCAACUUAGCAUGGUGGUCCAUUCCAUCUCAGCUGGUAGAGCAAGUCAUUAACACUGCCAGUGUUAGGGGUUUGAGUCCCAGCCAUGGUACAUGUGCAUGAGCUCAGGCUUGAGUUGCUUUAGGUGGCCCCCGAAAUGUUAUGAUAAUGGAUGUCCAGAGGGGUCUACAAGACUUCUAGCUUAUAAGAGCAUCAACAAGGCUCUAUUUUAAAAUGAGCUUGAAGUUGUGUAUUCUGUGUCACACGUGACCCAAUGGAAAAAUACAUAAUGAUGGCGUCUUCAUGCAUUCAUGGGCCUGUCCCACAGAUAAGAUAAGAGGAGAGAUGUAUUGUCAAUCUGUACGUAAACAAACCCCCAUUCAGGCCCUAAUGCAUCAUGCAUGCAUCAAUAGGGCAACUGGGUACCUGAUUGGGAGGGGUGUUCUUGUUGAGGUGCAGGGAGGGGGCAGACUCCCCCAGCAAAGACUUGAGCGGCCGGACUUCGGGGGUGCUGCUGGUGCUGCUGUUGUUGGAGGAGCCGGAGGCGUGGACCGAUGCCACCGCCUUGGCCUGAUCAGGGGGGACGUACCUGGAGAAGCCGAUCCCACAAAACAUCAGCAGAGAGCCAGCUUUUUGUUUGAACUCAAAGCCUCUAUGCUACUUGUAUAGAGAGCUGUGUGCCUCAAGAAAAUGUGUUCCUGGGAUUUUCCUGAUAAAGUGUCAUUAUUUAUAAUAUAAUAUAACAAUAUAUCAGGAUAUUAAAAUAAAACGUAUCUUGUGUCUUAAGUGGCUCUGAUUUAGCUGGUUGCAAUCAUUAAAAAUGUACCUCAUGCAUAUUUACCAUGCUGUACAAUUAUAUAUAUCAAUAGAGACCAACUAAGUAA